CAGCCGCACGGUAAUACGUAGGGUGCAAGCGUUAAUCGGAAUUACUGGGCGUAAAGCGUGCGCAGGCGGUUAUAUAAGACAGAUGUGAAAUCCCCGGGCUCAACCUGGGAACUGCAUUUGUGACUGUAUAGCUAGAGUACGGCAGAGGGGGAUGGAAUUCCGCGUGUAGCAGUGAAAUGCGUAGAUAUGCGGAGGAACACCGAUGGCGAAGGCAAUCCCCUGGGCCUGUACUGACGCUCAUGCACGAAAGCGUGGGGAGCAAACAGGAUUAGAUACCCGCGUAGUCCCUGUCUCUUAUACA
rnacentral:rRNA from 1 species